GAUGAAGAACGCAGCGAAAUGCGAUAAGUAAUGUGAAUUGCAGAAUUCAGUGAAUCAUCGAAUCUUUGAACGCACAUUGCGCCACUUGGUAUUCCGAGGGGCAUGCCUGUUCGAGCGUCAUUAUAACCCCUCAAGCUCAGCUUGGUGUUGGGGCCUGCUGCACUGGCAGCCCUUAAAAUCAGUGGCGGCGCCAUCUGGCUCUAAGCGUAGUAAUUCUUCUCGCUAUGGAGUCCUGGUGGAUGCUUGCCAUCAACCCCCAAUUUUUCUAUGGUUGACCUCGGAUCAGGUAGGGAUACCCGCUGAACUUAAGCAUAUCAAUAAGCGGAGGA
rnacentral:misc_RNA from 1 species